UACGAAGGGGGCUAGCGUUGCUCGGAAUACUGGCGUAAAGCGCACGUAGGCGGAUACUUAAGUCAGGGGUGAAAUCCUGGAGCUCAACUCCAGAACUGCCUUGAUACUGGCGGUCUCGAGUCCGGGAGAGGUGAGUGGAACUGCGAGUGUAGAGGUGAAAUUCGUAGAUAUUCGCAAGAACACCAGUGGCGAAGGCGGCUCACUGGCCCGGUACUGACGCUGAGGUGCGAAAGCGUGGGGAGCAAACAGG
rnacentral:rRNA from 1 species